rnacentral:lncRNA from 1 species
UUUCAUUACACUUCUUUCAAGAAAGCAACAGGCUGCCCAACAGACCUCUCAUUGAUUGGAAGAGAAAUGAGCCCAGAGCCUCCUAACAACAGCCUUGGAGUGGACAGGAUGAUGAACAGUGAUGCCAAAGACUCAGGAUCUGAAGGCAGACAGGCCUGGUCCACCACCUGUGUCUGCCAUUUGCAGGAUGAGUGACCUUGAGUAGGUCACCUCACACCUCUGAACCUGAAUUCUACAUCUGCAAAACAGGAAUGAUGACCCUGACUGACAGCCUCCCUGUGAGGAGUAAGCCAUACAGCAUCCCUCCCUCCUUCACGUGACAAACUUUUCCUGAGUCCUGACCUCGGGGGCAGGAGCUGGAGAUACUACACUGGAUUAGAAAGAUGAGUUUCCAGUCAAGUGUGGGAGAGAGAAGUAGCCAGGAUGUAGAACCUGACAAGGGAAGAGUUCAGGAACUUGCCCAGUUGAGCAGCCAGUGAACGGGACAGCCCUGAGCACGGUGCACGUUCUGGGGUGGCUCGUGAGUGACAGCAGUACUGGUAUGCUGGUGAGUGCCUCAGCAGGAGCUCCCUCUGUCCCCCUACCAACUCCCCGAUGUCUGGACGGCACCAGAGCCCGCCUGGGAGGCCACGAGCUAACACUCUCAAGAGGAAAACAGGGGGAUCAAACCAAUGACCCAAGGGCCUACAGCUAAGAACUGCUGGAGCCAGGCUCUGAACUGAGCUCUGCCUGACUCCAGAGGUGGUUUCUACCACCAGGCAAUACAACAGGGAGACACGCAGGUGUGUCAGAGAGCAGUCCUCACAGUGCGAGCACAGAAACCAGAGGCCAAGGCUGAAGAUUUUCCUGGACUCGCGGUGCUGCCCAGGAAUCUUCUGAGAAAACCUGUCAGUUGGUAAAGCCACGUGGAGGCGGGGCUAACAAAAUCUGGAAAUGUCUUCACCAGUUCCAAAGUACACACAAACAUUACUUGCCCUCUCUGGGGGUCAACGUUCUUUAUGAUUUUUUUCUCUCCAGGAAAAUAUUAGUUCAUUUAUAGAAACUAAACAUUACAUGUGGAGGGAAAAUGGAAAACGUGGCAUUCUUGGCCUUUUUUCUCCACAGACACAGAAACUGAGAAGGUUUCUCCAUUUCCUUUCUCACAGCCUAUUUGUUGGUGUGGAACUGCCUGUGAAGUCAUUCUGCAGGGGUGGAAAGUGGGGGCCAGCUCUCUGUGGGCAACAGGGACCAUCCCAGAGACAAAGGGCAGCCUCAGCCCACAGACCACUUCGGACUUGAAUCAAGGCCUCAAAGGGCGAGACCUGGGCCACUGUCAAUGUGAGGGCAGGUAGGCUGGGUAGAGGGGUAGAGGCGUGGGCGCUGCCUAGAAGAGGGCCAGAGAGACCGCCCGGCACAUUGGUCUUGCUCCCACUGCCUCCUUUCAGCUCCUCAGUGUACCCAUCCUUGCCCCUGGCAGCUUUUGCUGCCUGGUUCCCCGACUAAAAUGUGAGCUUUGUGGGGAAGGUUCUUGCCUUGCUGGGCACCUGGCUCACAGCAAGUCCUUGGCCUGGAAGUCUUGGGUGAAUGAAUGAAUGAACAUGUCUUAGGGCCUCUCCUUUGCAGGUGUGGGGGAUGUGCCUACUGGAAAGGGCACCGAGCUGAAGCCUAAACCCCCUCCUGAGGAGCCAGGGAAGCCUGCGUUCCUCCCAUUCCCGGGACUGCAAGAGGCACAUUCCUGUCCCUGAGUCUGGUCAGGCUCCUGCCACGCAGCUCAGUCUGGCUGCCAGGUCCAGAAAGGCCUCCCUGGAGCUGCCCCUCUGGCCCCACCCUUCCCAGGACCCCAGGCCACCCCACAGCUGCAGCAGCACCCACUCUCUGUCUUCUGAGGCUGCUAGUGGGAAGCUGGGACCCCCGAGUGUGUCUGAAACCUUCCAGGCACUCCUCGACCCUCUAGUGAUCAAUGAAAACCUUCACAUCCUGCUUCCAGGGCUGAAGCCAGGGAUUUGGAAAAUUGGUGGAAAACACUCCUAUGAGCUGGGGCUUGCUCUGCUGUGGAAAACUGCCAGCAUCAGCACUUCUCCCAAGGCUGUGCCGAGUCAGCAGUCAGCCCACUCUGGAGCUGCCUCUGAGGACCAGGUGCCUACAGGACCCUGUAAGGAGCUUGAAGAGUUGUGGCUGACGGAGGGAUUUCUGUCCUGGGCUCUAGGAAUUCUAGACUGGGCCCUUCCUCAAGGAGCUUUCAGUCUGGCGGAGCAGACAGACAUGGGCAAAUAAGCCCACAACUAACUGUGCCAUCACUGCAGAAGGAAGUGCCACGGAGGAGCAUGAGGGCCAGUUGCAGGAAGGAGCCAGGGCCAGCAUGUGCCUGUAAAAGCCAGAUAGUAAAUAGUUCACGCUCUGCAGGCCACAGGGUCUUUGUCCCAAGCACUCAACUCUGCCACUGCUGCAUGAAAACAGCCACAGGCGAUAUGUCAACCAAAGAGGGGUGGUUGUGCCCAUAUGAAAACAGAGGGUGGAUCUGUCCCACAGUUUGCCACAGCCUGGCUGUUAGACGGCCUGACCUGAUUGGGGGUGGGGGUGAUAGUGGGGAGAAGGCUUCCCCGAGGCAGUGAUAUUUAGCUAAAAGCUGCAGGCUGAGGCAAUGAUGGAGGCAGAAUCACAAUAUGACAAUUAUGAUAAUCACAUCACCAUGAUCAAGUUCCACCUAACACGUGUGUUCUAUGUUGCGCACUGUGCUAAUAACAACACUACCCUGUGAAGGAGGAAGAUUUUAUGCCCACUUUACAGAUAGAGACACUGAGGCUUGGCAGUAUGCUGAGUAGUCUGUUCACACAAUUCAGCUGCAUUUUUUGCCCUGCCCACUUGCCACUUCUGUUCGGGGGAGGCUGACCCCUGAGAUGCAUCUCCUGGACCCCUUGCCCCCAGCUUUCUAUUGGAUUUGGCCAAUGAAAGGCUCUGGUGGCAGACUGAGGGCUGGAGGAAAGGGAGGCCAGGGAUUUUUCUCUGCUCGCUCCUGCUUCCCCCUCCCUGCCCACAGACCCUGCACAGCCAAUCAUCCUCCAGAACUCAGCCAUCCCUGGGAUUGGUAACACUUCUUCCCCAUGCCCUUUAGCCUAGGGCUCCACCCUCCCCAGGACCCUGGGCCGGCCCAUGGGUGCCUCGCCAUGCUUUAUUGGUUCUGUUCAUUAAAGUCUCUUCAUGUGAACCAUCUGGGGUCCAUUCUGUCCCCUGCCAGGGCUCUGAUGCUGGAGGUUGGCUGGCUUGCUGGUUUCUGGUCUCACAUGGCUAAUAAACAACAGAGCCAAGUAGAGGUGUGGGUGGAUUGUGGGAAAGGAGGCUGUACCUGAGGAGGCUGGGCCAGGGCUGGCUCCUAGCUGCCCAGCUGACUUCCAGGACAGUCAGGGGUCAAAGGAGGCCAGGAAAUGCAGUGCCUCCUUUCCUGCCCCAGGGACCAGUGAGUGACCCCAUUCUUGAGGCCCCCAAUUAGCACUUUUAGUUUUCUAAGCCUGGCUCCAGGUCUGCAACCUCCUGUUCUUCUCCCUACCCCUAGCAGCGGGAGCCAGUGUUGCUCAGCGCAGACCUGGGCUGGGGGCUAGGGCUGAGGCUGAGGCUGAGGCUGAGGCUGAGGCUGAGGCAGGGCCCUGGGCUCUUCCUCAGGGAGGAGAUAGUGGGGCAGAUGGUGGUGAAAUGCAGGGACCAGCUGGGUCACAUAGAUGCCUGGAGGGGAAGAGGAAGCCUCUGUCGCCAUCGCCCUGGCAGGAAGCAGCAUGCAGGCGUGUUGAAUGGCUGGUGCCAGGGAGAGCCAGGCUGGCAGAUGAGGGCUUGGGCUGGAGGUGAAGGGUGGAGGCACCAGGGAGGAGGAGAGCCCUCUGAGGCUCAGUCGUGAGGCUGCAGCAACAGGAUCUCCUCCACACUUGGGCUAGUGUAUACCAGGGGCCCACCCAGAGCUGCAGCCUGGCUCUUCAUCCACCCAUCUAUCCACCCACCCACCCACUCACCCAUCCAUCCCUCUCCUCCAAAAACCCUACGAAAAUUGAGCAUCUACAAAGGGCAGGCAUAAUGCCAGGUGCUAAAGAUCCAACAAGGAAUGAGUCGGGCCCAGUGACCAGACAGAGAAUAAUGACAAGUUGUGGUGAGUGCCAUAAAGAAGCCAAGAGCUGAAAUAAAGGCCACCCUGAGCCCAACAGGAUGAGCAGGAGCAGACCACAAAAACAAGGGGGAGAAUGUCUAAGGCUUGAGCGAGGGGCCUGGGGAGGAGAACUUCACAGAGGCCUUGCUACUCUCAGGCAGAGGUGAGGCUAGGGUGUGGCCUGUGGAUGGACAGAGCCACUAGGGAAAGGCAGAGUUGGCUCACACCAAGGCGAACACCAUCCUGUGCCUGACCCUGGGCUCUCCCACCUCUCCCUGCUCAGUGGCUCCAGCAUGGAAUCAGGCAGCAGGAAGGGGCACCGGGAGAUGGGUAUUCCAGAGCUGUCUGAAGGACAGCAAGUGUGGCAUGGAGACUUCUUGGCAUUUAAAGAAGUCCAGGGAUGUGGCUCAUCCUGUGAAGGCUAUUGAACUGAAGAGGCUGCAAAGGCCAAACAGGCCUCUUAUUCACACUAAUUUGGAGGGGACUCGGAAGGACAGACCACCACUUUCAUUUUGCUCCAGAAUUCUGGCACUAUCUCCCGAUGCAAUAGGCUAGUCUUUGCUAGCAUUCCUUCUGUAGCUCUUAACAACUGCUGUCUCCUACAGUCUUCUGAUAGGAACCCUGCCCUGCUCCCUCCUCGUCCCCCACAGGUCAGUUGUAGGUGACUGCGCACCUAAAAGGAGCAAUGCUGACCGAGGGGGAAGGUGUUCUAGAAUGGCAGAAAUGACAAAGUAGAGACAAGACCAGCACUAGGAGCUUUCCUUCUGGCCACCUUUGCUGGGGGUCACCUGCCACAUAUGGAAGGCAAUGGAUUUGGAAGACUGCAAGAGAUAUUUUAAUACUGGGCUUAUGGAAACCCUGUGAAAAUCAAGCUUCUGCCAGGACUGUCUUGAGGUAUAGACAAUAGCAUUUCCGGAGACCCCGAGAAUCAACCAGCAUGUCUCUCUAAGAUAUCAGAGGCCCCCAGGGGUGCUGGAGGCAGGGUCUGGCUUGUCCAAUGCAGCCAGGAGAGGCUGGAAAAGGCAAGCAGCCCGGAGUCCCCCCUGGGAAUCAGGGCAGAGCCUUACUGGGUGGGGCUCAUGAGAGGCUGCCACACUGGCCCUAUGGGCUCUGUGGUCCUGUGUCCAGCAGGAGCUGUUACAGAGGUUGGCCUGGCACCAGAGAGUGGGGAGAGUGGCUUGAGCAGGUCAACGGGCUAGGGGAGGUGUGGCACCACGUAGCAGCUUGUAGCAGCCACCCCCUUACAAACAGGGCACAUCAGACUCUGAGCCGAGUGCCUUCCAAAUAGUAUUUUGUUUUUGACAUUCCAACGUUCCUGGGAGGAAGGUUUCAUCAUCCCAUUUUAUAGGAUAAAAAAAAAAAAAAAAAAAAAAAAGGAGGCCCAAAGGGGUUAAGUCACUUGUCCAAGACUGCAGUGGCCUAGAACCCAGGGUGGUAUGACCUAGAGCGCAAACCAGGGGGAGGAAGUGCUGUUGGGUUCCCCUUGACCCCCCACGCCCCCGACCUCUCCCUGGACAGCAGUGGAGAUCAGCUCCUGUCGUUGAGAGUCAGUUGGAAUAUGAGUAAAAAGUAACCAUUAAAUAAUAACGAUGAAGCAGCCAACACUGAGCACACUUUCACAAUGUCAGUGUGAGCAGAGCACUUUACAGGCAGGCAUGAGCUUACUCAGGCAUCACAACAACCCGAGAAGGUAAGUCGUCAUAUUAUCUUCAUUCUGUGGAUGAGGCCACUGAAGAUUACAGGUAAAGUGACAAAGCCAGGAAACAGCGGAGCUCGGGCUUGACUGCAAAGCCUGGGCUCAAAUCACUAGGGGACAGUGUAUGUGUGUGUGUUUCACAAGUCUGAUGAGCCACCUGCAUCUGGUGGCACCAGAUACCCUGGGCAUCCUCCGCACCCCUCCAGGGCACAUAAACCCAAGCCUGGGCAGCAGCCCCGCUAAGGGUCUGGAGAGCCUGGAGAAGAUGCUGGGGCUUUCUCUACCUUGUGUGUGCUCCCAACUUGGGGCUCUGAUCCUGCCUCUCUUGGGGCUGUUCAGGCCCAGGCUCUAACACUCAGGCUCUUCCAGGGAGCCCCGGCACAGAGGGGAACCACAGAAGUCCCGCAUGAUCAGGAGCCUGGGCAGGCUGGUGCAGGAGGGCUGUGAACAGGGAUAGCUGAGUCUGCUAAGCUGCAAACUUGAUUUGCCCUUGGCCUCCCCGGUCAAGGCCAACUCUGGCAGCCACAAUUAGGCUAUUAAGUGGGUUUGCUCCCACUCGAGGUAGCUA